rnacentral:rRNA from 1 species
UACGUAGGGUGCAAGCGUUUAAUCGGAAUUACUGGGCGUAAAGCGUGCGCAGGCGGUUUUGUAAGUCAGAUGUGAAAGCCCCGGGCUUAACCUGGGACUGCGUUUGAAACUGGGAGACUUGAGUGUGGCAGGAGGGGGGUGGAAUUCCGACGUGUAGCAGUGGAAAUGCGUAGAUAUGUGGAGGAACACCGAUGGCGAAGGCAGCCCCCUGGGUUAACACUGACGCUCAUGCACGAAAGCGUGGGGAGCAAACAGG